UCCCUGGUGGCCUAGUGGUUAGGAUCCAAUGCUUUCACCCUUGUGGCCCAGGUUCAAUCCCUGGUCUGGGAA
rnacentral:tRNA from 1 species